GUCGAUAAUUCCAAGGCUUUGUAAGCCUUUGUUGUACUAUACUAUGCUAUGGCUAUGUUGUUUUGUACUAAAUGAACUUGUCGACUCGCAAUUUUAUAAACAAGCGUCAGCCAAAUCUAUUUCCAAACAAUAUGUAUACUCAUACUGAACGUAUGAAGGCUAUUAACUUGGACCAUCACGAAUGUAAAUGAUCAGUAAAGUAUAGUAAAAUAUAAUAUGAUUAAUUUGCUUUGGCAUAGCUGUACAGUAUAUGCUGGUUUUCCCGUGUUUACUUAGCCUGCGUAGCAGUCGCUUUAUUUUAUUGU